AGUCAGAUUGAUAUCAGUCCCUUCAUGGAUAAGGAAGUGCACAACAUCUUCAUACCCUUUGGAAGCUGCAAGAUGCUGCAACGAAGAUGCUUGUUACAUCAGGCAUGCAAUAUUUAUCAUGGAGGGCGCAACAUUUUGAAUUAGAUAAGAACCAUAUAACCAAGUCUUAGAAUUCGUACCAAAGGAGACCGCCCAUCGUAAUCAGUGUUCUUUGGAUUGGCUCCAGCUCGGAUUAAGCCAGUCAACUGAUGAAGGUCACCAUAAAAAGCGGCAUUAUUCACUCUUAAGUCGGAAAUAGCACAUCAAGAAAAAAGAUGCAGUAUCCAUGAAUACUGGAAUUUGAUGAAAUAAUUAAUGGUAUGUUGGUGGUUUCUACUGUUUACCUCGCAGUAUGAUGGAUUGUUCCUCCAGUGCUAGGAGAUGUACCUGUCCACAGCGAGGCGCUAUUGGUUUCUUCAACCUUGAUGUUCCAGGACUCCAAUUUUGAGAAGCGCCGCGUGAAUACGCCCGUGCAUGUGUUCUUGGUAUUUUGUUUAGAAGACAAAAACAAUGAAAUGGUCGAGGGCAGUAAUAUGCAUAUGCAUGGGCGUGCAAUCAGAUCGAAGCUGUUCUCCCUUUUGUUUUAAAGACAUUGUUCGAUUUCAUUAUCUGUUCCAUCUUCCACUGAUCAACAAGGCAAGGCCAAGUCAGUAUGUCACAUGCUUCCACCCUCUAUUUUUCUUGUAAAGGAUGGUUAGCUUUUUUUUUUUUGAAAAAUCAUCAUCCAUUUUAUCUGUUUUCCUGAUUAUAUUUGUUUUGAGGGGAGAUUAUAUUUCAUAUUGCAGUUAGCCAUCACCCAUCAGUAGAAGCAUCAUGUAAGCGCAGCUGCCUUGCAAACACUGCAGCUCUAA